GGAGAUAGCUCAGUUGGUAGAGUGCUUGCCUUACAAGCACAAGGUCCUGGGUUCAAUCCCCAGCAAGCACCA